rnacentral:tRNA from 1 species
GCCUGGGUGGCUCAGUUGGUUGAGCGUCUGACUUCGGCUCAGGUCAUGAUCUCACAGCUCGUGAGUUCAAGCCCCGCAUCAGGCU